rnacentral:rRNA from 1 species
UACAGCAAUUGAUGGAUGCCUUGGCUUCAUCAGGCGACGAAGGACGCAGCAAGCUGCGAUAAGCUUCGGGGAGCGGCACGCACGCUAUAUAUCCGAAGAUUUCCGAAUGGGGAAACCCGGCACCUCUCAUAGGGUGUCACUUCGAUCUGAAUACAU